rnacentral:rRNA from 1 species
CGACCGGCGCACGGGUGAGUAACGCGUAUCCAACCUGCCCACCACUUGGGGAGUAACCUUGCGAAAGUAAGACUAAUACCCAAUGAUAUCUCUAGAAGACAUCUGAAAGAGAUUAAAGAUUUAUCGGUGAUGGAUGGGGAUGCGUCUGAUUAGCUUGUUGGCGGGGUAACGGCCCACCAAGGCAACGAUCAGUAGGGGUUCUGAGAGGAAGGCCCCCCACAUUGGAACUGAGACACGGUCCAA